UACGAAGGGGGCUAGCGUUGCUCGGAAUCACUGGGCGUAAAGCGCACGUAGGCGGCUUUCUAAGUCAGGGGUGAAAUCCUGGAGCUCAACUCCAGAACUGCCUUUGAUACUGGCGAUCUUGAGUCCGGGAGAGGUGAGUGGAACUGCGAGUGUAGAGGUGAAAUUCGUAGAUAUUCGCAAGAACACCAGUGGCGAAGGCGGCUCACUGGCCCGGUACUGACGCUGAGGUGCGAAAGCGUGGGGAGCAAACGGG
rnacentral:rRNA from 1 species